CGACAUGUCGCGAACCUGGUCAGGUCCGGAAGGAAGCAGCCAUAAGCGGCCUCUGUUGGGUGUCCGGGGUCCGCUCGAGGCG
rnacentral:SRP_RNA from 1 species